rnacentral:rRNA from 1 species
AAUCAACGCUGGCGGCGUGCCUCAGACAUGCAAGUCGAACGAUUAAAGCUCUCUUCGGAGAGUGUAUAGAGUGGCGCACGGGUGAGUAACACGUAAGUAAUCUACCUUUGAGUGGGGAAUAACCCGGGGAAACCCGAGCUAAUACCGCAUAAUGCAGCGGCACCGCAAGGUGACAGUUGUUAAAGGAGCAAUCCGCUUAAAGAGGAGCUUGCGGCAGAUUAGCUAGNGGUAAGGUAAUGGCUUACCAAGGCUUCGAUCUGUAUCCGGCCUGAGAGGGCGGUCGGACACACUGACACUGAAUAACGGGUCAGACUCCUACGGGAGGCAGCAGUCGGGAAUUUUGGGCAAUGGGCGAAAGCCUGACCCAGCAACGCCGCGUGAAGGAUGAAGUAUUUCGGUAUGUAAACUUCGAAAGAAUGGGAAGAAUCAAUGACGGUACCAUUUAUAAGGUCCGGCUAACUACGUGCCAGCAGCCGCAGUAAU